GAUGAACGCUGGCGGCGUGCCUAAUACAUGCAAGUCGAGCGAACAGAUGAGGAGCUUGCUCCUCUGACGUUAGCGGCGGACGGGUGAGUAACACGUGGAUAACCUACCUAUAAGACUGGGAUAACUUCGGGAAACCGGAGCUAAUACCGGAUAAUAUAUUGAACCGCAUGGUUCAAUAGUGAAAGACGGUUUUGCUGUCACUUAUAGAUGGAUCCGCGCCGCAUUAGCUAGUUGGUAAGGUAACGGCUUACCGAGGCAACGUUGCGUAGCCGACCUGAGAGGGUGAUCGGCCACACUGGAACUGAGACACGGUCCAGACUCCUACGGGAGGCAGCAGUAGGGAAUCUUCCGCAAUGGGCGAAAGCCUGACGGAGCAACGCCGCGUGAGUGAUGAAGGUCUUCGGAUCGUAAAACUCUGUUAUUAGGGAAGAACAAAUGUGUAAGUAACUAUGCACGUCUUGACGGUACCUAAUCAGAAAGCCACGGAUAACUACGUG
rnacentral:rRNA from 1 species